rnacentral:lncRNA from 1 species
GCUGCGAGCUUUUCAUAAGUGCAGAAGCUCCUCAUGUUGCUGAUGUGAACGUAGUUGUAUAUCAGUUACGCUACAUUGUUUCCUAGUGGUAACCAGUCUUCAAAUCCUACAACUUUCUUCUGUCUUACACAGUUGCCGCGUUUGCCAAGCUAAGCAAAGAACUGUUUCCACACAAACCUCAGUGUUCCCUAGCUCCAUAUUUUCCUGCAGCAUAUCUUUUGCCUAAAUUACAUCACCCACUGUCUGACUUGCCCAAAUGUUCCUUAUUAUUUAAGUAACAAAAACAACAACUGAAAUACCUUGUCCUUGUUCUUUUUGUAAAUAAUAUUUCUGUUUUGAUGGUAACUUUUGGAUGUGGACUUUGUAGUAGAGUCCUAAUAGAGAGAAUUAAAUGAAGGUAAUGAUUGUACAGGGCUUUAUGUCUUACAAACCAAACUCAACACUUUCCUUCAAAGCACUUUGAAGUGCUGAGCAUGGUUGUACAUCCCCACAAUCCUAACACUCAGGAGACAGAGGCAGGGGAUCUUGAAUUCAAGGCCAGCUUAGACUUGAGAGUUAGACACAAAGACCAUGUCUCAACGUAACUGAAGUGGGGAAAAUACUACUAAAGAAUAGAGGACGAGUCUUCUAGUCUAUGGCUACCACCCUCUCCAUCAAAUCCUUUCCCAAUGGCAGUGAGUGAACAUCACUAACUAAACUAUUCCCACACAGAGAGACUACAAAUUGGUGGAUGGAAAAAUAAAAGAAGAUGAUUUGCUAAACAUAGUAAAAUAUGAACUGAAUACUUUGUUACACUUAAAAAACUGAAGCUCAUGAAAGUAAAGGAUCCUAACAGGUUAAAAUGAAUAGACACUAAAAUAAUAAUAAUUAUUAUUUAUAAACAACCAUCAAACUUGAGUUAAAAGAAUGACACUGGAUAAGAAAUUACCACAAUUAUGGUUAUGGUUCUUUCUGCUCUUCCCUUCCAUUGCUCUUUCCUCCAUCUGUCAAAGAAUCCCUAUGUGGGUUACAAUCUUCUCUCUUUUCUUCUGGGCCUCAUUACAUAAGUUCAUAUAUGACUUAGGAAAUGCUCCCCAAAUUGAAGUACCAUCACUGUAAUAUAAGAAAACUUAAAAUGUAAUAUGGACAAAUGCUUCAGGAAAUUUACAACAUCUCUAUUUUAAUAUCUAUUAAUAACCCAUUUUGCUUUUGUACCAAACUUUAUUGACUUUCCACUUAUAUGAGGAAUACAGAUAGAUGUUUGUCAUUCAAAUAGAUUUGGAAAACAGCAUUGCUAGGUAAUUUUGUGGGACUACCUUAGAGUUCACAGAAAUAAAUUUAAAUAGUCUAGGUUAGUCUGUGUCAUGUCCCUUGAUCCACUCAAGAGACGACAUAAACCUGAGAUAAAUGAGACAAUUGUCACUGAAGCAUUGGAGAGUUUUACACUAUACUUUUUAAAAAGUAGAAGAAAUAAACUCUAGUAAAAAGCAAUAUGAUAUGAUAGUUAAUACAUAAACCAGGAACAUAAGUGUCCAUUUUGCCAAUUUCUUGUGCUAUAUGUAAUUGUGUGCACUAUUUAAGAGACUGGCCGCACAGUGGAUUUAUUUAUACCAGCUCUACCACAGGCCUAUCAGUAAUAUACUGUGUUGUCACAAUGGAAGAGAAAUCAAACAAUGUGACAUUUUCAGUUCCAUUGUACUCAGAUGGCUUAUAGUCCCUUAUUGAUCAAAAUGUCUUUAUUAAAUAGACAUGGGCACCAUUUCUAAACACUGGGCUUCCCCCCUGAAAGUGGAAGGUCCAGGCAGAACCAGAGAAGCUGUCAAAGACUGAGUUCCUCCUUGUCCUGCUUCUUUCUCUUCCAUUGUUAGUGCCGGUUGUAGAGCCUACAUUAUGCUCUCAUUUGGUGUCUUAGGUCUCACCAUAAUUAACCUAGCACUGAGCAGAGCAGAUAGUAAGAUCAUGAAAGAGCUGCUGAAUGAGCUUUGUGAGGGCUGCGAGCUGGUGUUUACAUGUGCUGAAUUUGGGGUGAUGUUGAGCUAGACAUUGGCCAUGUCAAGAAAGAGACCCUUGUGCAGAGUAGAUGUCCUUUACAGAGAGGUACGGUGGUGAGAUCUGGGCAUGCUUUCAUAUGCUUACUGGAGGCUACUGAUACGAUG